UACGGGGGGGCAAGCGUUGUCCGGAUUUACUGGGCGUAAAGAGCGCGCAGGCGGUCGCUCAAGUCGCGUGUGAAAGCCCCCGGCUCAACUGGGGAGGGUCACGCGAUACUGAUCGACUGGAAGGCAGGAGAGGGUAGUGGAAUUCCCGGUGUAGUGGUGAAAUGCGUAGAUAUCGGGAGGAACACCAGUGGCGAAGGCGACUACCUGGCCUGUUCUUGACGCUGAGGCGCGAAAGCUAGGGAGCAAACGGG
rnacentral:rRNA from 1 species